GCGUGCGAGAGAGUGAGUGACUGAGGAGUGGUUGUUUGUGUGUGUGUAUAGUUGCUUAUUAGUAUUUUAAAACCUACACAGUGAUCUUAUUUGAUCCGGUCUCAGCCCGGCUCUGCUUUGACCGGAGAUGAUAGUAAAAACGCUCACUAGCCACAUGGCGAUGAUGUGGAGCUGAACCGUGAAGGGCCUAUCUGCGCUUCGUGCUGCGGUCAGAGCUGAUGAAUGUGAUCAGAUAUACUAGUCACGAGUGGCCUUGGGGUUCGCUCCAAGCUCCACGGUGGACAAUGAGUAUAUAAGCGAUUCUGAUCUGA